rnacentral:rRNA from 1 species
UACGUAGGGGGCGAGCGUUGUCCGGAUUUAUUGGGCGUAAAGAGCUCGUAGGCGGUUCGAUAAGUCGGACGUGAAAUCUCCACGCUCAACGUGGAGGGGCCGUUCGAUACUGUCGUGACUCGAGUCCGGUAGGGGAGUGUGGAAUUCCCGGUGUAGCGGUGAAAUGCGCAGAGAUCGGGAGGAACACCCGUAGCGAAGGCGGCACUCUGGGCCGGUACUGACGCUGAGGCGCGACAGCGUGGGGAGCAAACAGG